ACAUAUAUUUUCAGUAUUGAAAUUGGAACUAUAUAGAGAAGAUUAGCAUAACCCCUGCAAAAGUAUGCCACAGAAAUUCAUAAAGCUAAAAGGUCCCCA
rnacentral:snRNA from 1 species